GACGAACGCUGGCGGCGUGCCUAAUACAUGCAAGUAGAACGCUGAAGGAGGAGCUUGCUUCUCCGGAUGAGUUGCGAACGGGUGAGUAACGCGUAGGUAACCUGCCUGGUAGCGGGGGAUAACUAUUGGAAACGAUAGCUAAUACCGCAUAAGAGUAGAUGUUGCAUGACAUUUGCUUAAAAGGUGCAAUUGCAUCACUACCAGAUGGACCUGCGUUGUAUUAGCUAGUUGGUGAGGUAACGGCUCACCAAGGCGACGAUACAUAGCCGACCUGAGAGGGUGAUCGGCCACACUGGGACUGAGACACGGCCCAGACUCCUACGGGAGGCAGCAGUAGGGAAUCUUCGGCAAUGGACGGAAGUCUGACCGAGCAACGCCGCGUGAGUGAAGAAGGUUUUCGGAUCGUAAAGCUCUGUUGUAAGAGAAGAACGAGUGUGAGAGUGGAAAGUUCACACUGUGACGGUAUCUUACCAGAAAGAGGCGGCUAACUACGUG
rnacentral:rRNA from 1 species